rnacentral:rRNA from 1 species
AACGAACGCUGGCGGCAUGCCUAACACAUGCAAGUCGAACGAUUGCCUUCGGGUGUUAGUGGCGCACGGGUGCGUAACGCGUGGGAAUCUGCCCUUAGGUUCGGAAUAACAGCUGGAAACGGCUGCUAAUACCGGAUGAUAUCGCGAGAUCAAAGAUUUAUCGCCUGAUGAUGAGCCCGCGUUGGAUUAGGGAGUUGGUGGGGUAAAGGCCUACCAAGCCGACGAGCCAUAGCUGUUCUGAGAAGAUGAUCAGCCACACUGGGACAGGGACAAGGCCCAGACUCCUAGGGGAGGCAGCAGGGGGGAAGAUUGGACGAUGGGCGAAAGACUGAUGCAGCAAUGUCGCGGGAGUGAUGAAGGCGCGAGGGUGGUAAAGCUAUUUUACCAGGGAAGAUAAGAACGGAACCGGGAGAAUAAGCCCGGGCAAACUCCGG